rnacentral:rRNA from 1 species
AAGCUCGUAGUUGAAUUUCGAGAUCAAUAUACCGGUCGUGCCUCAGGUAUGAACUGUGGUCUUAUUGGUUUCUCCCUUCUGACGAACCAUGAUGUCAUCAAUUUGAUGUCGUGGAGAAUCAGGACUGUUACUUUGAAAAAAUUAGAGUGUUUAAAGCAGGCUAACGCUUGAAUACAUUAGCAUGGAAUAAUGAAAUAGGACGUUCGAUCCUAUUUUGUUGGUUUCUAGGAUCGACGUAAUGAUUAAUAGGGAUAGUUGGG